rnacentral:miRNA from 1 species
CCUCCAGCACUCAGUAGCCAGUGUAAAUCCUGACUCUCUGCAGCAGCAGGUGGCAGCACUGCUCUGUCUCAGCU